CCCUUAGAUGUUCUGGGCAGCACGCGCGCUACAAUGGUCUUCGCAAACGGAUGCAUUCUCGAAGGAGAAUGCCAAUCUUGGAAUCUAUGCCUUGGUCGGGACAGUUGCUUGCAAUUUUUCGACUCGAACCAGGAAUUCCUUGUAAUCGUGAUUCAUCACAUCACGAUGAAUACGUCCCUGCCCUUUGUACACACCGCCCGUCGCACCUACCGAUUGAAUGGUCCGGUGAGGACUCGGGAUUGUGGUUUAGCUCCUUCAUUGGGGCCUGACUGCGAGAACUUGUCCGAACCUUAUCAUUUAGAGGAAGGUGAAGUCGUAACA
rnacentral:rRNA from 1 species